ensembl:lncRNA
GCAAGCAUAUACCAUAAAAAUUAUUGCACAAAAUAGAAAUGGUUGUAUGUCCAAGUAAACUCUGAUCUGAAUUGCUGUCCAUUACUGUCGUACAAUAGAGUCAUGGUGAGAUAGUUGUUUUGAGUUGUUUUAGUUAGGGGCUUUUAAGGUGAGAUAGUUGUUCUGAGAUGUUUUAGUUAGGGGCUUUUAAGGUGAGAUAGUUGUUCUGAGAUGUUUUAGUUAGGGGCUUUUAAGGUAAGAUAGUUGUUCUGAGAUGUUUUAGUUAGGGGGUUUUAAGUUUGAGAAUUGUCUGCCCACUCAAAGCAGAUCAGAUGAAUAGCAGAGUUUGUGGAGAAGCAAACAAUCUUUUAAAUAGGCUGGUG